CGACCGCUGGCGGCGUGCUUAACACAUGCAAGUCGAACGGAAAGGCCCUGCUUUUGUGGGGUGCUCGAGUGGCGAACGGGUGAGUAACACGUGAGUAACCUGCCCUUGACUUUGGGAUAACUUCAGGAAACUGGGGCUAAUACCGGAUAGGAGCUCCUGCUGCAUGGUGGGGGUUGGAAAGGUUCGGCGGUUGGGGAUGGACUCGCGGCUUAUCAGCUUGUUGGUGGGGUAGUGGCUUACCAAGGCUUUGACGGGUAGCCGGCCUGAGAGGGUGACCGGCCACAUUGGGACUGAGAUACGGCCCAGACUCCUACGGGAGGCAGCAGUGGGGAAUAUUGCACAAUGGGCGGAAGCCUGAUGCAGCAACGCCGCGUGCGGGAUGACGGCCUUCGGGUUGUAAACCGCUUUCGCCUGUGACGAAGCGUGAGUGACGGUAAUGGGUAAAGAAGCACCGGCUAACUACGUG
rnacentral:rRNA from 1 species